rfam:Salmo salar isolate Sally breed double haploid chromosome ssa15, whole genome shotgun sequence.
UGGCUCAGUUGGUAGAGUAUGGUGUGUGCAACACCAGGGUUGUGGGUUCGAUUCCCAC